CAGCCGCCGCGGUAAGACAGAGGAUGCAAGCGUUAUCCGGAAUGAUUGGGCGUAAAGCGUCUGUAGGUGGCUUUUCAAGUCCGCCGUCAAAUCCCAGGGCUCAACCCUGGACAGGCGGUGGAAACUACCAAGCUGGAGUACAGUAGGGGCAGAGGGAAUUUCCAGUGGAGCGGUGAAAUGCGUUGAGAUCGAAAAGAACACCAACAGCGAAAGCACUCUGCUGGGACGACACUGACACUAAGAGACGAAAGCUAGGGGAGCAAAUGGGAUUAGAUACCCCGGUAGUCCCUGUCUCUUAUAC
rnacentral:rRNA from 1 species